GAUGAACGCUGGCGGCGUGCCUAAUACAUGCAAGUCGAGCGAACAGACGAGGAGCUUGCUCCUCUGACGUUAGCGGCGGACGGGUGAGUAACACGUGGAUAACCUACCUAUAAGACUGGGAUAACUUCGGGAAACCGGAGCUAAUACCGGAUAAUAUAUUGAACCGCAUGGUUCAAUAGUGAAAGACGGUUUUGCUGUCACUUAUAGAUGGAUCCGCGCCGCAUUAGCUAGUUGGCAAGGUAACGGCUUACCAAGGCAACGAUGCGUAGCCGACCUGAGAGGGUGAUCGGCCACACUGGAACUGAGACACGGUCCAGACUCCUACGGGAGGCAGCAGUAGGGAAUCUUCCGCAAUGGGCGAAAGCGUGACGGAGCAACGCCGCGUGAGUGAUGAAGGUCUUCGGAUCGUAAAACUCUGUUAUUAGGGAAGAACAAAUGUGUAAGUAACUAUGCACGUCUUGACGGUACCUAAUCAGAAAGCCACGGCUAACUACGUG
rnacentral:rRNA from 1 species